GAUGAACGCUAGCUACAGGCUUAACACAUGCAAGUCGAGGGGAAACGAUAUUGGAAGCUUGCUUCCGAUAGGCGUCGACCGGCGCACGGGUGAGUAACGCGUAUCCAACCUGCCCACCACUUGGAGAUAACCUUGCGAAAGUAAGACUAAUACCCAAUGAUAUCUCUAGAAGACAUCUGAAGGAGAUUAAAGAUUCAUCGGUGAUGGAUGGGGAUGCGUCUGAUUAGCUUGUUGGCGGGGUAACGGCCCACCAAGGCGACGAUCAGUAGGGGUUCUGAGAGGAAGGUCCCCCACAUUGGAACUGAGAAACGGUCCAAACUCCUACGGGAGGCAGCAGUGAGGAAUAUUGGUCAAUGGGCAAGAGCCUGAACCAGCCAAGUAGCGUGCAGGAUGACGGCCCUAUGGGUUGUAAACUGCUUUUAUAAGGGAAUAAAGUGAGUCUCGUGAGACUUUUUGCAUGUACCUUAUGAAUAAGGACCGGCUAAUUCCGUGCCAGCCGCCGCCGUAA
rnacentral:rRNA from 1 species